rnacentral:rRNA from 1 species
AACGAACGCUGGCGGCAUGCCUAACACAUGCGAGUCGAACGAGACCUUCGGGUCUAGUGGCGCACGGGUGCGUACCGCGUGGGAACCUGCCCUUAGGUUCGGAAUAACUCCCCGAAAGGGGUGCUCAUACCGGAUAAUGUCUUCGGACCAAAGAUUUAUUGCCUUUGGAUGGGCCCUCGUUGGAUUAGCUAGUUGGUAGGGUAAAAGCCUACCAAGGCGACGAUCCAUAGCUGGUCUGUGAGGAUGAUCAGCCACACUGGGACUGAGACACGGCCCAGACUCCUACGGGAGGCAGCAGUGGGGAAUAUUGGACAAUGGGCGAAAGCCUGAUCCAGCAAUGCCGCGUGAGUGAUGAAGGCCUUAGGGUUGUAAAGCUCUUUUACCCGGGAUGAUAAUGACAGUACCGGGAGAAUAAGCACCGGCUAACUCCGUG